rnacentral:rRNA from 1 species
UACGUAGGGUGCGAGCGUUAAUCGGAAUUACUGGGCGUAAAGCGUGCGCAGGCGGCUUUGCAAGACAGAUGUGAAAUCCCCGGGCUCAACCUGGGAACUGCACUUGUGACUGCAUAGCUAGAGUACGGUAGAGGGGAGUGGAAUUCCGCGUGUAGCAGUGAAAUGCGUAGAUAUGCGGAGGAACACCGAUGGCGAAGGCAGCUCCCUGGACCUGUACUGACGCUCAUGCACGAAAGCGUGGGGAGCAAACAGG